rnacentral:rRNA from 1 species
GACAGAGGUGCCAAGCGUUAGGCGGAAUCACUGGGCUUAAAGCGCGUGUAGGCGGGUCGUUAAGUACCUUGUGAAAUCCCACGGCUCAACCGUGGAACUGCUGGGUAUACUGGCGAUCUUGAGGCAUCUAGGGGCAGCUGGAACAAGUGGUGGAGCGGUAAAAUGCGUAGAUAUCACUUGGAACGCCGAAGGUGAAGACAAGCUGCUGGGGAUGAACUGACGCUGAGACGCGAAAGCCAGGGGAGCGAACGGG